UAAAUGAUGAUAAUCACACCUGUAUAACAAAAUAUACAGGCCCCUCAUUACCAGUUUCUUGUAAAUCUGGAAAUAUCCCGGUAGGCUGAAGGCCUCAGAAGCAGAAAGGCUUUCCUCUAAUGCUCUAUGCCUUGUGUUUCACAACUGUGUAGUACGGUAGGGGUUUAGCAAAAGUAAAUCUCCAUAACUGCUAGUCAAACAAUGACAGUUAACAGAAGUUUUACCCAGUGCCAUCAAGGUAAUAAUUAACAAUUCAGAGCAAAAAGGGGAAGCAUGAUAAUAAAAAAGUCAGCAGCUAAUAAAGAAAAGGAGUGAAGUAACUGCACGAACACCAUACCCAGGCAAUCAUUAUAAAUAAAGCAAUGGAGUAACUAUGCUUUAAGAAAGCUUCUCUGUAUCAGAACAACACACGGCAGAAACUGAAGGGUCCCCACAGUCCACCAUUCAUUGCGCUUCUCCAGCCUCCAGCUCCAGGCCCUCUUGCCCAAGGAGUCUCAGACCUCCAUGACUGGCAAGCAGUGGUCAGCAAGUCUUCUAAUCGCCUCUUCUCAAAUUCAUUUCUGGAACCAGAUAGCAAUGCUCAGAGACUAGAAGAGGAAUGAGGAUAGCUUCAAACAAGCCAACAUAAUGAAAUAUGCUUUCCAUUUAUUAUCUGAAGAAAAAUGUACAUUAUUGUUUAUUACAAAUUGGUGAAAACAAAAGUUUUGUCUACCUUACUUUACCUAAAGUUUUGUACCUUUCGAUUGUUAUACCCCAUACGAUGGUUCGGAUAUUUGGUUUUAUCACGUAUUGGAGACUAACAGACUCGCUUCACACUCCCAAAGUAGAAAGAAAUUUUCACUUGUGAAUAAAUGAUAGACAUUAUGA